GGGAGCACACACAGUGGAGCCUGCGGUUUAAUCGGACUCAACGCCGGGAAACUCACCAGAUAAGACAGCUGAAUGAUAGUCGGGCUGAAGACUCUACUUGACUAGCUGAGAGGAGGUGCAUGGCCGUCGUCAGUUCGUACUGUGAAGCAUCCUGUUAAGUCAGGCAACGAGCGAGACCCACGCCAACAGUUGCCAGCUCGUCCUCCGGGAUGGUGGGGACACUGUUGGGACCGCUCUGCUAAAGAGGAGGAAGGAAUGGGCAACGGUAGGUCAGCAUGCCCCGAAUUAUCUGGGCUACACGCGGGCUACAAUGGGUGGGACAAUGGGUAUCGACACCGAAAGGUGAAGGCAAUCUCCUAAACCCAUCCGUAGUUCGGAUUGUGGGCUGCAACUCGCCCACAUGAAGCUGGAAUCUGUAGUAAUCGUGUCUCAAAAUGGCACGGUGAAUAUGUCCCUGCUCCUU
rnacentral:rRNA from 1 species